UUGGGCUUUUGGGUUGAUUGACUAGUGUUUAGAACAUAGAAGCUGAACCCACGAAAUAGGACUAAACGAAAGCAAUGUUUAUCUCUUAACCGGAAAUCAAAAUCUAGACAAAUGAAACCGGGAAACAAACCACUAUGUUACCCUAACCGGAUAUUAACCAAGAAUGUUGAGCUUGUUUUCUAUCUCUUAUCCCUUUGAUUUCUCGU